UGAAGCGACCAAUAUAACCAGGAAGAACUGCACAGUCAUCAAAAAUGAUGUUCUUACUACAUUCAAGUGUGAGGUAGGGAUCUUUAUCCCCGUGUACUGUGUGUUAGGUGUAAGUCUGCAGGCCACACACACGGGGUACGGCAGCAGCAGCCGGGACGAAAGCUCCCGGUGAGAGGCGGGCAGAUAAUACCGAUACCAACGCUGUAGCUCAAGGCAGUGUACCUGUGACCACAGCGAGGCCUUUGAUGAUGUACUGAAGUACGUCGGUAAGCUUCGGGAAAGCCACAGCCAACUUGAAGAACACUUUAAAAACUUAAAUGCGAGUUAUCAACGAGACUACUCUUUGCUCUUUGAGGACCUUAAAGAUUUACAGAACAGAAGGGAAUCUCUAGAAGAGCGAUUCAUUGACUUGACAGAACAGUAUCAGAAUGACGUUUGGAACUUGAAAAAAGAGUUAGCCGCCACAGCGGAGAAGAGUGCUGAUCGGUCUUCUGAUGCAACACAAGAUUUUUAUGAGGUGCUGGAGGCUUGUGAGAGACGCCAGUUCAAGCUGGAGCAGCAGCAGCAGAAAGAAGAGGAUGCAGGGCAUCCAGAGACAUGGGCCAAUACCACUGCACAGACAGUACUUGAAAAACUAAUCGAUGUAUCGCUAGCCUUUAUAACCGUGCUUUUGGUGCUGAUGUCCACAGUGAGCAGCUGGGUGGCCCCAUUUUUCAAGACAGCCCUUCUAAUGCUUUGCACGCUGCUUUUUCUGGUCCUUUUGUCUUUCCUGUGGAGGCACUGGGAUGUUAUUUUAGAUUAUCAUCAUUUACCCUUCUGCAAUUAACAUCUUGGAGAAACAUAAAAUGAAUGCAGACACCACUCAGUCAUCUUUAUUACUGCAGUGUAUGGAAACUUAAAUCUAGUGUGUGUGUCUUACUACAGAAAGCAAUAGCCCAUACAGUGAAGUCUGAGUUACACAGGAAUGAAUCCUUUGAUUACAGGACAUGAAUCUACAGCCGAGGAUGGUCAACAUAUUCAGGGAAAUGCACCGAUUAAUAGAAACAGUGACUCAGUUUGGUGAAGAGCCCACUAGGUCAGCUUUGUUACACAAUUGUCUGCUGAGACUUGUGCAAAUAUGGUUCACUCUCAGAAAAGCUGCCACCUGAACUUUAAGUUCAGAAUGUUUGCAGAUGAACAACUUUUUUUAUUUUGAAACCAGGUUACACAGCAUUAUAGACUUGCCGUCAUAAACUCACAAUUGCAACAAUCUGUCAGGUUUCUUUCUUUGUAGGACAUGUUAGACCUUUAGUACAAAUGCAGAAGGUCUGAAGUAAAUUAGGCGCCAGAUUCAAUACAUUUGCAAUGCUUGGGGUUAGUUAUUGUAUAGUCUAGUAUUAAAGGUAAUUAGAAUAUAUUCAAAUGCACUCGAGCUAAAAAUUUAGAUUUAUUUGACAAACAAUAUAAAAACAGUCUAGAAUUACAAGUUCAAUCUUCAGACUUUGUCCCUCGUUUUCCGCUUGAUUUAGAAGCCACUUUACUGUCCGCUUUGGCAACCUUGGCCUUUCCAGGCUUUGCCUCCUUCGUUUUCUUUGCUUUAGUCUUGGUCGAGUCAGCAGUUUCCUCACCAUCCCCAGUCGGUUUAGCUCUUUUAGCCUUUGGCUUCUUCGCUGGAGCAACCUUUGAUGUAGAAGCCUCUUCAUCCUUCAACUUUUUGGGAGGCUUUGAGUCCUAAAAGGCAAGAGGGGAAUUUAGGAGACAGCGGUAGAUUGAAUGACAGACAGAAUUUAAUGAACACUGGAGAGAACGUAAACUACUUUACCAGACAAAUAAGAGAUCCUAUGAAAACUGACACGUUCAGGACACUUUACCAAGCCAUUAACCCCUGAAUUGUAACGCAAUUGCCAGAAAAUUCACUUUAAAAUGAUGAAUCUGACAAAUUAUCAAACUAACUCCAAAUCAAGUCAUAUGUAAAUAAAAUGCAUCAAAUUUGCUACAUCUGGCUUAAAAUAAAUGCUCAAGUCUAUUGUGCAAUUUGGGAAUUUUUUCCAGGAUUUUUCUCUAGUGAGGCCGUACAGAUACCUGGUUUCCAUUUCUGUUGAAAUUUAUAGUUAUGCAAAAGUAACAUUCUGACCAUCUUCCAGAAUAUUUUGAGGGUCCUUCAAAUCUUAAACAUUUGCAACUUUAGAAUAUAGAUGUAAACUACCAUGAGCUUCAUCUACAUUCUUAAAUACAUGAAGAGUCAACUUCCCAACUUCUCAUCUAAAGACAAACUUGCGCCCGCUCACCUCUUUGGACUUUGUUUGUCCAUUUUCAGCGUCUUUUUUCUUUGCGGCACCUGUAAGAAAUGACAGGUUGACACAGAGUAACAGCUUAAAUUACUGCUGACUCGAGGUUUAACGGUCAUUCAUACCCGCUUUGCUGGGCUUCUUGGCUCCAUCCUUGGCUGCUUUUGGAGACUUCUUCACACUGGGCUCUGCGUUUUCGGCUUUUGGUUUGGUCUUCGGUGCAAGCUUAAUAAAGACGAAACCCGUAAUUGACAUUUGAACUCUUCGUUUGAACGCAGUUGCAGAUGUAGCCUCUUACCCUAAAUCUCCUCGUGGCCGUUGUCGCGCUGGAGUUUCCAGGCUUCACCAGCGUCCCAUUUUCCACUCCCUUCUUUAGGUUUUUGCGAACUAAAGUCUUCAGCCUCGCCAAAUCCACCGACGGGUAUUUUUCAGUGAUAUACUUCAGUAUCGCCUGGGAUGAAACUCCUUUGCGCGAGUCCAACGCUUGAAGUGCUUCUUUCACCAUGAUCGCCGUGGAUGGAUGAGGCGCAGCAUCUACGCAGAGUAAAUUUACAUAUAAUUUUUUAAAGUUCGUUCCAUCUUAAAGAUUUUCGCCUCUUGCGCACAGACCUGAUUUCUUUUCCGGCUUCUCAUCCAUCGACGCUUCGCUUGUGGAUGAAUCGGACGGCUCAGUGGAGUGUGCUGGUGGCCUUUUGGGAGCCAUUUCACUAAAAUCUAAAGUUAAAAACAGGACACAAUAAAGGCAGACAAGCUAAAGUCUUAAAAUAUGCGUACUCUCCUUUUAUUUGGCAACUGUCUCUGUUUUUAUGCAGUUGUUUCCGGUAUAAUGAGACCAGGUGAACCGCAUCGCACCAGGUGUGGUAAAUUAGGAUUUGAAAGCCACCGCGGAUUCAUCCAACUUAAUGUGUUAUCACUGAAUCCUGUCGCCUCAUCCGGUGUCAAAACACCCAAGCAGUGCUUCAAAUGCACAGAUAGCAAGACGACAUUAAAACAAUGCUGACUUUUUAUUUGAAUCGUCGACUGAAAUCUCAGACCUAAAUAAAUGUCGGAUCAAUGUUAAAUGCUGAUGAAACUUGACGGUGUGACGACAGUGACGUAUGCACUUUAUCACAUACAUAUCUUUGCUGAUUGUAUUUGGCACUUUAUGCAACCUUUUGCACCUCUUGAUGAUAUUUGUAAUAGUAAAAUAAACUGUUUUAGGUGGUUAAAUGUUAUGCUCAAAAUUAGCUUUUGAGAUGUGAAUUUAAUGAUUUUUAAUUUUAAACAAGUUUUGGACAGAUUUCUAAAAUUUCACGUGCUUUAUUCACAUUGUGUUUUUGUAUUUUCUUUUGUAGUUGGUGCAAAUGCAUUACACAGAGAAUUUUCCUUUAGCUAUAUGCAGUUCAGAGCUACAGUCUAGGCUGGAUGGAGGCAGGACAUCACAGAGUAUUCAGCUUCAUCAUGACUGGACACCUGCUGUUUGCCAUCCUCAUGAGUAAGUCAAAUCUCUGUAGAUUUCAACAUAAAUUAACUCAGGGUCAUCUUCGCAAAUUACCUACAUUUUU